rnacentral:rRNA from 1 species
GUCGGGUUAAGUCCCAUAACGAGCGCAACCCUUAUCGUUAGUUGCCAUCUGGUAAAGCAGGGGACUCUAGCGAAACUGCACGUAAGGUGAGAGGAAGGUGGGGAUGACGUCAAAUCAGCACGGCCCUUAUGUCCAGGGCUACACACGUGUUACAAUGGCCGGUACAGAGGGCAGGCUACCUGGUGACAGGAUGCUAAAUCUCGAAAACCGGUCUCAGUUCGGAUCGAAGUCUGCAACUCGACUUCGUGAAGCUGGAUUCGCUAGUAAUCGCGCAUCAGCCAUGGCGCGGUGAAUACGUUCCCGGGCCUU